UACGUAGGGGCAAGCGUUGUCCGGAAUCAUUGGGCGUAAGCGCGUGUAGGCGGCCCGGUAAGUCCGCUGUGAAAGUCGGGGCUCAACCUCGAAUGCCGGUGGAUACUGUCGGGCUAGAGUGCGGGAGAGGCGAGUGAAUUCCUGGGUGUAGCGGUGAAAUUCGUAGAUAUUCGCAAGAACACCAGUGGCGAAGGCGGCUCACUGGCCCGAUACUGACGCUGAGGCACGAAAGCGUGGG
rnacentral:rRNA from 1 species